rnacentral:rRNA from 1 species
AGUGAACGCUGGCGGUAGGCCUAACACAUGCAAGUCGAACGGCAGCACAGAGGAGCUUGCUCCUUGGGUGGCGAGUGGCGGACGGGUGAGGAAUACAUCGGAAUCUACUUUUUCGUGGGGGAUAACGUAGGGAAACUUACGCUAAUACCGCAUACGACCUACGGGUGAAAGCAGGGGAUCUUCGGACCUUGCGCGAUUGAAUGAGCCGAUGUCGGAUUGGCUAGUUGGCGGGGUAAAGGCCCCCCAAGGCGACGAUCCGUAGCUGGUCUGAGAGGAUGAUCAGCCACACUGGAACUGAGACACGGUCCAGACUCCUACGGGAGGCAGCAGUGGGGAAUAUUGGACAAUGGGCGCAAGCCUGAUCCAGCCAUACCGCGUGGGUGAAGAAGGCCUUCGGGUUGUAAAGCCCUUUUGUUGGGAAAGAAAUCCAGCCGGCUAAUACCUGGUUGGGAUGACGGUACCCAAAGAAUAAGCACCGGCUAACUUCGUGCCAGCAGCCGCCGUAA